CCUACGGGAGGCAGCAGUGAGGAAUAUUGGUCAAUGGACGCAAGUCUGAACCAGCCAUGCCGCGUGCAGGAAGACGGCUCUAUGAGUUGUAAACUGCUUUUGUACGAGGGUAAAUCCCGAUACGUGUAUCGUGUUGAAAGUAUCGUACGAAUAAGGAUCGGCUAACUCCUUGCCAGCAGCCGCGGUAAUACGGAGGAUUCAAGCGUUAUCCGGAUUUAUUGGGUUUAAAGGGUGCGUAGGCGGGUCGAUAAGUUAGAGGUGAAAUCCCGGGGCUCAACUCCGGCACUGCCUCUGAUACUGUCGGGCUAGAGUUUAGUUGCGGUAGGCGGAAUGUAUGGUGUAGCGGUGAAAUGCAUAGAGAUCAUACAGAACACCGAUUGCGAAGGCAGCUUACCAAACUACGACUGACGUUGAGGCACGAAAGCGUGGGGAGCAAACAGGAUUAGAUACCCGAGUAGUC
rnacentral:rRNA from 1 species